UAGGAUCGUAUAGAGCUAGCACCGGUCAC
rnacentral:piRNA from 1 species